UGUGUCCGUCCCGCCUGUGUCCACCCCCUGUGCUCCUCCUGUGUUCAACCUGCCUGUGUCCACCCUGCCUGUGUCCAUCCCGCCUGUGUCCACCCCCUGUGCUCCUCCUGUGUCCAUCCCGCCUGUGUCCACCCCGUCUGUGUCCACCCUGCCUGUGUCCAUCCCGCCUGUGUCCAUCCCGCCUGUGUCCAUCCCGCCUGUGUCCACCCCCUGUGCUCCUCCUGUGUCCAUCCCGCCUGUGUCCACCCCGCCUGUGUCCACCUCCCUUACUCCACCAGUGUCUGGCCUCCAGAAGAAAAGAAAAUCAUGUAGGAAUGCAGACAUUAGUGAAUGCCCCAUUCAUCAAGGUCUAAGCGUUUUCCCCUACAAAAGGAUUCUGAGGCAAAGACUCAGAGAGGGUUGUGUCGAGGUGUUGGUGGAGUGGCAACCUUGCUCUGGAU